rnacentral:rRNA from 1 species
UUGAACGCUGGCGGAAUGCUUUACACAUGCAAGUCGAACGGCAGCACGGGGGCAACCCUGGUGGCGAGUGGCGAACGGGUGAGUAAUAUAUCGGAACGUGCCCAAUCGUGGGGGAUAACGCAGCGAAAGUUGUGCUAAUACCGCAUAAGAUCUACGGAUGAAAGCGGGGGAUCGCAAGACCUCGCGCGAGUGGAGCGGCCGAUAUCAGAUUAGCUAGUUGGUGGGGUAAAGGCCCACCAAGGCGACGAUCUGUAGCUGGUCUGAGAGGACGACCAGCCACACUGGGACUGAGACACGGCCCAGACUCCUACGGGAGGCAGCAGUGGGGAAUUUUGGACAAUGGGCGCAAGCCUGAUCCAGCAAUGCCGCGUGCAGGAUGAAGGCCUUCGGGUUGUAAACUGCUUUUGUACGGAGCGAAAAGGUCUGCCCUAAUACGGUGGGCUCAUGACGGUACCGUAAGAAUAAGCACCGGCUAACUACGU